CGGAGCUUUUUCUAAUGAACUUGUGUUAUGAUUUUUGGCCAACAAACAACAAAACAAUGAGAUGUAUAAAAAUUUAUUCUGUGUACGCUCGAUGUUUAGGUGAUAUCUGUCGACCUGUGGUUUGCCAUUCCGUUCUCGUUUCGAAAGGUGCGAGCCUGAAAAGCGCUUCUCCCCGAACUUGGACGGACUCUCUCUGCACACCCUCCAUCCAUCCAUCCAUCCAUCCAUCCACCAGUUUAGCAGUCUUUGGCCCCAAAAGAGAAAAAAACCACUCGGGUAUAGACAGACAGCUGUGGCUUACCUCGUACGUUACAUAAGCAACGACCAUCCUCAGAAUCCCGACACAUCCAGAUCUUGUCCGUUAUCCUUCCCUCCCCCAUCUCCAUAACCGACC
rnacentral:lncRNA from 1 species